rnacentral:tRNA from 1 species
ACGAAAUACGUCCAGUAUGGCCGAUUUGGCUGCCCUUCGAGCGCAAGCGAGAAGGACAAGCUCCUAGCCAAAUCCCACUCAAAUAAGGCGAGACCCGCCGUCCACGUUUCUCUUUCUCAUCAACUGGAUACGAACUCACGCCCGCGUCAUGUAGCGUGCUUAACGAAAGAUGGGCCCGUAGCUCAGGUGGUUAGAGCGCACGCCUGAUAAGCGUGAGGUCGGCAGUUCGAGUCUGCCCGGGCCGACGAUUCGCUUUAGUUCUUGGUCGCCGGACGACCGGCCAGGGCCUUUUCCCUUGCGAGGGUUCGGCCUUGGUUUGAGUGCCAGAAGCCCUGGUUGGAUAUUGUGGAGACCUGAGUCUAUUUUUUCUAAGUCUAGACUGAUACUAAGACCCGAUAUGCUACAAUUGGGAAGAGAAGCUGUGGGUGGAGCGAACUUAAGUUUGUUGUCCUGAGGUAUAUGGACCAUCGGAUCAUCGCUCUUCGGCUGAUGCGUAUGCUGGAUUGAAGUUCCAUGACCGCGCAUCCCCGGACAUAUCUGGGGAAUGCACAGGGAGUCAAACGCGAUCUAGGAAUUGCUCGGCGUAAUUCCAAUGAGACCGUGUCGAACACGUCGAUGGCAUCUGAUCGGCCCGGUUGUAAAAGGUAACCGGGCUUUUGGGCCGGGCAUUCUUAACGAGUGCUUGGGACUGACUGGUUCGGCGCACUGCAAGGUGUCCGAUAUCAGGUUUGGCUGCCCUACGAGGCGACAAGCCGAGUGGGUAAGCUUAGCCAAACCCAAUAAGGAUGAGCAUGGCAAUGAGAACGAUCAAGUGUCAAAAGG